CCUACGGGAGGCAGCAGUGAGGAAUAUUGGUCAAUGGGCGCGAGCCUGAACCAGCCAAGUCGCGUGAAGGAUGACUGCCCUACGGGUUGUAAACUUCUUUUAUAAAGGAAUAAAGUGAGGCACGUGUGCCCUUUUGUAUGUACUUUAUGAAUAAGGAUCGGCUAACUCCGUGCCAGCAGCCGCGGUAAUACGGAGGAUCCGAGCGUUAUCCGGAUUUAUUGGGUUUAAAGGGAGCGUAGAUGGGUUGUUAAGUCAGUUGUGAAAGUUUGCGGCUCAACCGUAAAAUUGCAAUUGAUACUGGCAGCCUUGAGUACGGUUGAGGUAGGCGGAAUGCGUGGUGUAGCGGUGAAAUGCAUAGAUAUCACGCAGAACUCCGAUUGCGAAGGCAGCCUACUAACCUGCCACUGACGUUGAUGCACGAAAGUGUGGGUAUCAAACAGGAUUAGAUACCCUUGUAGUC
rnacentral:rRNA from 1 species